UGGAUGCACUUAGUGGCGGACGGGUGAGUAACGCGUGGGUACCUGCCUCACACUGGGGGAUAACAGUUAGAAAUAGCUGCUAAUACCGCAUAAGUCCGCAUGGAAAAAACUCCGGUGGUGUGAGAUGGACCCGCGUCUGAUUAGCCAGUUGGCGGGGUAACGGCCCACCAAAGCGACGAUCAGUAGCCGGCCUGAGAGGGUGAACGGCCACAUUGGGACUGAGACACGGCCCAAACUCCUACGGGAGGCAGCAGUGGGGAAUAUUGCACAAUGGGGGAAACCCUGAUGCAGCGACGCCGCGUGAGUGAAGAAGUAUUUCGGUAUGUAAAGCUCUAUCAGCAGGGAAGAAGUGACGGUACCUGAAUAAGAAGCCCCGGCUAACUACGUGCCAGCAGCCGCGGUAAUACGUAGGGGGCAAGCGUUAUCCGGAUUUACUGGGUGUAAAGGGAGCGUAGACGGCAAGGCAAGUCUGAAGUGAAAGCCCGGUGCUUAACGCCGGGACUGCUUUGGAAACUGUUUAGCUGGAGUGCCGGAGAGGUAAGCGGAAUUCCUAGUGUAGCGGUGAAAUGCGUAGAUAUUAGGAAGAACACCAGUGGCGAAGGCGGCUUACUGGACGGUAACUGACGUUGAGGC
rnacentral:rRNA from 1 species